AUUAUAAAAGCGCCUGCUAGUGCCGCAGAACUAUGUUCCUGGUACUCCUGCGUUUGUGUACUAUCAUCAAGUGAAUUAAGUUUCGCUCCUGACUGGAAUUGCUGAAACCGAGGAAAAUGGACGGCAAACAAUUCAUUUCAACUAUCACUGUUAUUGCUGCGCUUUUGUGCGAAGCCUUUGCAAGGCAAUCCUCUGAAAUGGAGUCAGCUGGCAGAGAUACCCUCCUUAAGUAAGACCGCGUGCCAGAUCAGCUCCGAUUGCCCAAAUUCACCAUGUGGUCAGGCAAGUCCACGAGAGCUUCACUUCACGUGCAAAUCUUUACGCCAAAGAAUAAAUCCACAGAUCGGUACUAUCCAAUUUGCACGUUGCAGUA